ACCUGCAACCCCAACUGGUAAGAGAUAUCGAAUGAGUUGUUUUCUGGUCAGACAGUGCAAGACUAACCUGAUCUUGUGGCUCGUGUGUUCCAUGGAAAGCUAGAGGCUAUGAAUGAGAUGUUAUUCAAGAAGCAUAUCCUGGGUGUUGUUGUUGCGUAUGUAUAUGUAGUCGAGUUCCAAAAGAGGGGCCUCCCACACACACACUUUCUGUUGAUCAUGGAUUCUGCAUAUAAGCUUGGCAUUCCGGAGUAG
rnacentral:rRNA from 1 species